UAAAAGCUUGGUCCUGGCUUUUCUGUCAUCUCCGGCUAAAUUUACACAUGCAAGUAUCCGCACCCCCGUGAGAAUGCCCCACAGUCUCCCUCCCCGGGGACAAGGAGCUGGUAUCAGGCACAUUAAUAUGCCCGCCCACGACACCUUGCUCAGCCACACCCUCAAGGGAAUUCAGCAGUGAUAAACAUUAAGCCAUAAGUGAAAACUUGACUUAGUUACAGCCCCCAGGGCCGGUAAAACUCGUGCCAGCCACCGCGGUUAUACGAGAGGCCCAAGCUGACAGCCCCCGGCGUAAAGAGUGGUUAAGUUAACCCUAAUGUGACUAAAGUCGAACGCCCCCAAGACCGUUAUACGUGCUCGGAGGUAUGAAGCCCAACUACGAAAGUGGCUUUAAAAUACCUGACCCCACGAAAGCUGUGAAACAAACUGGGAUUAGAUACCCCACUAUG
rnacentral:rRNA from 1 species